rnacentral:rRNA from 1 species
UGCAUGUCUAAGUAUAAGCAAUUAUACAGCGAAACUGCGAAUGGCUCAUUAUAUAAGUUAUCGUUUAUUUGAUAGUGCCUUACUACUUGGAUAACCGUGGUAAUUCUAGAGCUAAUACAUGCUAAAAACCCCGACUUCGGAAGGGGUGUAUUUAUUAGAUACAAAACCAAUGCCCUUCGGGGCUCCUUGGUGAUUCAUGAUAACUAUACGAAUCGCACGGCCUUGCGCCGGCGAUGGUUCAUUCAAAUUUCUUCCCUAUCAACUUUCGAUGUUUGGGUAUUGGCCAAACAUGGUUGCAACGGGUAACGGAGGGUUAGGGCUCGACCCCGGAGAAGGAGCCUGAGAAACGGCUACUACAUCCAAGGAAGGCAGCAGGCGCGCAAAUUACCCAAUCCCGACUCGGGGAGGUAGUGACAAUAAAUACUGAUACAGGGCCCUUUCGGGCCUUGUAAUUGGAAUGAGUACAAUUUAAAUCCCUUAACGAGGAACAAUUGGAGGGCAAGUCUGGUGCCAGCAGCCGCGGUAAUUCCAGCUCCAAUAGCGUAUAUUAAAGUUGUUGUGGUUAAAAAGCUCGUAGUUGAACCUUGGGCCUGGCUGGCCGGUCCGCCUCACCGCGUGCACUGGUCCGGCCGGGCCUUUCCCUCUGUGG